rnacentral:rRNA from 1 species
UUAAAAUAAAUUUUAUAAAAAAAAGCAAAGCUAAUUUAAACAACUACUAAAACAAACCUAAUAAAACAUAUUUUUGGUUGGGGCAACCUCGAAGAAAAAACAACCUUCGAUAAAAUAAAAAAAAUAAACAAAUUUAAAAACUAAUUAUAAUAUAAAUGACCCGGAAGUGCCGAUCAAAGAAAUAAGUUACCGCAGGGAUAACAGCGUUAUUCUCUUUAAGAGUUCAUAUUGACAAGAGAGUUUGCGACCUCGAUGUUGGACCGGGGCACCCCUGGGGUGCAACAGCCCCUAAAGGUAGGUCUGUUCGACCUUUAAAGCCCUACGCGAUCUGAGUUCAGACCGACGUAAGU